UACGGGGGGUGCAAGCGUUACUCGGAAUCACUGGGCGUAAAGAGCAUGUAGGCGGAUUAAUAAGUUUGAAGUGAAAUCCUAUAGCUUAACUAUAGAACUGCUUUGAAAACUGUUGAUCUAGAAUGUGGGAGAGGUAGAUGGAAUUUCUGGUGUAGGGGUAAAAUCCGUAGAGAUCAGAAGGAAUACCGAUUGCGAAGGCGAUUUACUGGAACACAAUUGACGCUGAGAUGCGAAAGCGUGGGGAGCAAACAGGAUUAGAUACCCUGGUAGUCCACGCCCUAAACGAUGUACACUAGUUGUUGUGAGACUAGAUCUUGCAGUAAUGCAGUUAACACAUUAAGUGUACCGCCUGGGGAGUACGGUCGCAAGAUUAAA
rnacentral:rRNA from 1 species